AUUGAACGCUGGCGGCAGGCCUAACACAUGCAAGUCGAGCGGAUGAAGGGAGCUUGCUCCUGGAUUCAGCGGCGGACGGGUGAGUAAUGCCUAGGAAUCUGCCUGGGAGUGGGGGAUAACGUCCGGAAACGGGCGCUAAUACCGCAUACGUCCUGAGGGAGAAAGUGGGGGAUCUUCGGACCUCACGCUAUCAGAUGAGCCUAGGUCGGAUUAGCUAGUUGGUGGGGUAAAGGCCUACCAAGGCGACGAUCCGUAACUGGUCUGAGAGGAUGAUCAGUCACACUGGAACUGAGACACGGUCCAGACUCCUACGGGAGGCAGCAGUGGGGAAUAUUGGACAAUGGGCGAAAGCCUGAUCCAGCCAUGCCGCGUGUGUGAAGAAGGUCUUCGGAUUGUAAAGCACUUUAAGUUGGGAGGAAGGGCAGUAAGUUAAUACCUUGCUGUUUUGACGUUACCAACAGAAGAAGCACCGGCUAACUUCGUG
rnacentral:rRNA from 1 species